GCUGGGUACAGUGGCACUUACCUGUAAUCCCAAUGGCUUGGGGGCUGAGGCAGGAGGAUCACAAGUUCAAAGCCAGCCUCAGCAAAAGAGAGGUGCUAAGCAACUCAGUGAGAGACCCUGUCUCUA
rnacentral:sRNA from 1 species